ACCUCCUCUCUCUUGCAGGGUCCGAGGGCAAGCCAUGCUUACGGGAAUGCACUGACCACAGCGCUGCUGCCUCYGAGUAUCACACCCAAAAAACCUUCCUCCCAUCCCUGAUUGCUGAGAAUGACUCCUUCUUCACCAGCAUGGCUGAAGAAAAGGAGGACUCAUCUUCCGUAGAGCUGGACGUCCCAACAGCAGAUUUGCACAGCAGCGUGGAGGAUCUCCUCUCAGACUCUGCUCUCCAUGGCACAGAGUAUUUCAGAGAUCUGGGGUUUCUGAGCCUGCCAACUACCAGCACAGCACCAGAGACUGCAUCACCGUCAGAACAAGCGCCCCAAGCUGUAUCUGCCUUUCGCUUAUUGGAAGAGAGACCGAGGGGGUUGAGCAAAAUGUCUGUGGAUGUUGCUUUUUCCAAUCCUGUCUCCUGCUCGGUGCGUUAUGGGGAGGCCGACUGCCACUUCCUGAACAGAGACUGCGUUUCCUCCCGCGCAGCAGUGCCACAAGAGGCAACUGGCACCUCUGAGUGUCCUGCAGAGGCAGGCAAAGCACUGGAGCUGCAGGAGGCCGAGGAGACCUUCCCCACGCUGGUGAGGUCCAUGUCUACCUCACGGAGACACAGCUGGGAGAGCCCCGUAUCACCCCUGGACUGCACGCGCAGGUUCAGCCUGGACGCCACAGAGAUGGGCAGUGACCCAGAGCAGGAGGACGUGGCGAAGGGGAGUCUGUCCUGCCCGCAGCCUCUCGUGUCCCUUCAGCUGCCCAGAGGGGAGCUGGAAGCCUGCAGCGGCAGCGGGGGCGGCACGGUGAUCAAAGUGGAGAUAGAGCCGCUGCGCCCGAACCUUGCGGUGGGCCCCAGCUUCGAGGAGGCGGAAUGUGGCAGCAAUGGGAAGAGACUGAGGUCAAGGUCUGUCCCAUCAGCCUGCGACAAGGUUGCCUCCCCUCAGAUACCUUGCAGUUUCAACACUCCUCUUCCAGCCAUGGAAGGUUGGUAUAUACUAAAUCUAUGGCAUUAAAUGAAUUCAAGCUUUUUGUGAUUAAGAAGAUACAAAACCRAAGAUGUAGCCUCUGAAAGCCUAGAUGUUCUCUGCCCCUCUCUUCUACAUGGUCCCAGGAGCUUCUGAAACAAAGUCAAGCUGACUUUGACUUUGUUCCAGGCUGAGUGUGUAGUCUAAGUGCAGACGUGCCUGUCUCCAGUGACACAUUGCCAUAUAACCUGUCUGUGGCUGGUGCAYUGGUCAUUCCCUACUUACAUAAGGCAAAGA
rnacentral:lncRNA from 1 species